rnacentral:rRNA from 1 species
CCUACGGGGUGCAGCAGUGGGGAAUAUUGGACAAUGGGCGAAAGCCUGAUCCAGCCAUGCCGCGUGUGUGAAGAAGGCCUUCGGGUUGUAAAGCACUUUCAGUGGGGAAGAAAGCCUUGGGGCUAAUACCCUCGAGGAAGGACAUCACCCACAGAAGAAGCACCGGCUAACUACGUGCCAGCAGCCGCGGUAAUACGGAGGGUGCGAGCGUUAAUCGGAAUUACUGGGCGUAAAGCGCGCGUAGGCGGUCUGAUAAGCCGGUUGUGAAAGCCCCGGGCUCAACCUGGGAACGGCAUCCGGAACUGUCAGGCUAGAGUGCAGGAGAGGAAGGUAGAAUUCCCGGUGUAGCGGUGAAAUGCGUAGAGAUCGGGAGGAAUACCAGUGGCGAAGGCGGCCUUCUGGACUGACACUGACGCUGAGGUGCGAAAGCGUGGGUAGCAAACAGGAUUAGAUACCCUAGUAGUC